CUUCAUGAAGCCGGAAUUGCUAGUAAUGGCAGGUCAGCAUACUGCCGUGAAUACGUUCCCGGGCCUUGUACACACCGCCCGUCACACCAUGAGAGUUGGGGAUACCCGAAGCCUGUGAGCCAACUUUUUAAGAGGCAGCAGUCGAAGGUAGAAUCAAUGAUUGGGGUGAAGUCGUAACAAGGUACC
rnacentral:rRNA from 1 species